rnacentral:lncRNA from 1 species
AAUACUUAAUAGGAAUGCUUUUUUUUUUUUUGAGAAAGAGAUAGCGAGCUACCUGUUUUUAUUUAUUAAGCAAAAUGAACUAAGCAUAUAGGGUGGAAGCAGCUAGGGCCUCCUUAAAAAAAACAUAAAAGGUAGGAAUAAAAAUUGAAAGAAAGGAAGGAAGAAUGGUAAAAGAAGAAAGGGAUAAAGGAGAAAAUAUCGUAGGGUUGACAAAAUGUUGAUGAAUCAAAGGAGCUCGAUCCAAGUGUUUGACGAGAUUUUGGCACAUUCAAAAGCUCGGGUAGUGUUGGGAAGAGUCGAGCGGAAGAUAAUAUUGUUUCGUUCCGUCCAAAUGACCUAGCAGAUUGUCGCCAAAAGGGUUGAACCUUUUGAUCUCUUCGUGGCGUCAGAGAUGUUAGAUGUAUUGGU